rnacentral:rRNA from 1 species
GGGGAAUAUUGGACAAUGGGGGGAACCCUGAUCCAGCCAUGCCGCGUGUGUGAAGAAGGCCUUAUGGUUGUAAAGCACUUUAAGCGAGGAGGAGGAGCUUCAGGUUAAUACCCUGGAUGCUUGGACGUUACUCGCAGAAUAAGCACCGGCUAACUCUGUGCCAGCAGCCGCGGUAAUACAGAGGGUGCGAGCGUUAAUCGGAUUUACUGGGCGUAAAGCGUACGUAGGCGGCUUUUUAAGUCGGAUGUGAAAUCCCCGAGCUUAACUUGGGAAUUGCAUUCGAUACUGGGAAGCUAGAGUAUGGGAGAGGAUGGUAGAAUUCCAGGUGUAGCGGUGAAAUGCGUAGAGAUCUGGAGGAAUACCGAUGGCGAAGGCAGCCAUCUGGCCUAAUACUGACGCUGAGGUACGAAGGCAUGGGGAGCAAAC